AUUGAACGCUGGCGGCGUGCUUAACACAUGCAAGUCGAUCGGUAACAGGUGUAGCAGUACAUGCUGACGAGAGGCGGACGGGUGAGUAAUGCUUGGGAAUCUGCCUAUUAGUGGGGGACAACCCGGGGAAACUCGGGCUAAUACCGCAUACGCUCUACGGAGGAAAGCCGGGGACCGCAAGGCCUGGCGCUAAUAGAUGAGCCCAAGUCGGAUUAGCUAGUUGGUAGGGUAACGGCCUACCAAGGCGACAAUCCGUAGCUGGUCUGAGAGGACGACCAGCCACACCGGAACUGAGACACGGUCCGGACUCCUACGGGAGGCAGCAGUGGGGAAUAUUGGACAAUGGGGGCAACCCUGAUCCAGCGACGCCGCGUGGGUGAAGAAGGCCUGCGGGUUGUAAAG
rnacentral:rRNA from 1 species